rnacentral:tRNA from 1 species
AUUCAGUAAUAAUGGCUAAAAUCGGACUGAAAAUCCGUGUGUCGCAAGUUCGAUUCUUGCUCUGGCUACCA